rnacentral:lncRNA from 1 species
GGUGUUGAAAAGAUGACCAUCUUCUGGAAGGCCACCAGGAAAGAAUCAGUGGAGAAUGUUUCCUUCAAUACUGUUCUCUGACAAAUAAGGAAUGUACAGUGCACUGCAUAACAGGUAUAAAAAAGAAGACGAAGUUUUUGAAGGAAAGUACUUGAGGUACUCACUUAGAGAUCUGCUGAUGACUCAUGGAAAACUGAAGAAUUGUUUGACUGCCCUCGAUGACAUGUCCAUGUCAUGCUUAAGGCUCAGAUACUGCAAGAUGUAAAAUAAGAUAAAUAAGCCCUCAAUACUGAAGGCGCCUCUUGGUAGACAACAAGUUGUGGAUUCUGUGUCAAAUGAAAUUGCAUUUAACCUUUUUAGAGCAGAUACUAACUUUAACUUAGUGAUAGCCUAGCUGCAUCAAAAAGAAGAAAACCUGAAUUUACUAUCUGCAAAACAAUAUACAGUUUAAAAAAAUGUGGACUGUACUUGAUUUCAGUCUAUGUUUACAAUGAUGGAAAGAAAAUUACAUUUACUGCUUUUUAGCUUUUCAAAUGUAGGUAAGAUUUAUUUUGGAAUAUCAAAAAUGGUACUUCAAUUCUAUUGUAUGGAAUGGAUGCCACACAAUAAAAUUCAUCUGCUGUUUAACCUUCCA